rnacentral:rRNA from 1 species
AUUGUCAUUUUAGCAUAUACCAUAUACCCCAAUACAACUAACUAAACCAUUUACUUAUGAUAGUAUGGGCGACAGAAAACCUUUUAGCGCAAUAAAUUAAGUACUGUAAAGGAAAAAUGAAAUAGAAAUAAAAUAAACAUAAAAAUAUUAUAAAGCAAGGAAUAGCGCCUUUACCUUUUGCAUCAUGGUCUAGCAAGUCUAACCUUACAAAAAGAAUUUAGCAAGACACCCCGAAAUCAAACGAGCUACCAUAAGGCAGUAUUUAUUUACCGAAACCCCUCCUGUAGCAAAAGGACGGAGAGACCUUAUGGUAGAGGCAAAAAACCUAACGAGCUUGAAUAUAGCUGGUUGCUUGAGAAAGAAUUUUAGUUCGUACAAAAACACUACUACCACAAAGGAAAAUUUACCUUUUUGUAUUAAUCAACUGAGUUUCAGCCCAGUUAAUAAGGGAAACAACCCCAAUAAAUGACUUACGACUAUUUUUAAGAAACUGAGCCCAGUAGGCCCAAAAGCAGCCAUCAAAUAAUAGCGUUAAAGCUUAACUCAAAAAACAUCAAUUAUUUCACUAAAUAAUCCUAACUCAACAAAACAAUCAAGCUAAUCUACUUAUAGAUGAACUACUACUAGAAUUAGUAAUAAGAAUUUAUUCUCUACGAUACAAGUAUACAUCAGAACGAACCAAUCACUGAUAAUUAAUGAAAAUAUUUUUUAAAACAAGACAUAAUAAUAAAAUCAUUAACCCAACACAGGAGUAUUAAAGAAAGAUUUUAGGUCUAGAAAGGAACUCGGCAAACACAGGCUUCGCCUGUUUACCAAAAACAUCGCCUUUUGAAAUAUAAAUAUAAAAGGUCCUGCCUGCCCAAUGACUAGUUUUAAUGGCCGCGGUAUUAUGACCGUGCAAAGGUAGCGUAAUCAUUUGUCUUCUAAAUAAAGACCAGUAUGAACGGCUAGACGAAAGCCUUACUGUCUCCCUAGUCCAGUCAAUGAAAUUGAUUUCCCCGUGCAGAAGCGGGGAUAAAAAUAUAAGACGAGAAGACCCUGCGGAGCUUUAAACUCUAAUUAAUAGUUAUAUAUAUAUUUAAUAACCAGUUUUAGGUUGGGGCGACCAUGAGGCAUAACACAACCCUUACGAUAAUUACAAAGAAAGACACUUCAAACAACUAACAUUAGUAUAUUGACCCAACAAUUGAUCAACGAACCAAGUUACCCCAGGGAUAACAGCGCAAUCCGCUCAAAAAGUCCAUAUUAACGAGCAGGUUUACGACCUCGAUGUUGGAUCAGGACACCCAAAUAGUGCAACAGCCAUUAAAGGUUCGUUUGUUCAACGAUUAAAGUCCUACGUGAUCUGAGUUCAGACCGGAGUAAUCCAGGUCAGUUUCUAUCUAUAACCUAACUUUUCUAGUACGAAAGGACCGAAAAAUUUAGGCCAAUAAACAAUUUAAGCCUUAUCAAAAUUUCUGCAUACAAAUAAAGAAGUAAAGGAGGACAAAAGUCUAUAUGGCUU